UGAGCCAGCUUGGAUCCACCGCAUCUGAGGAUCACCCCCAAGCUCCUCCUCGGUUUCCAACUUCGUGGUCCUUACCUGCACGCACCUCGUGGCUGGGACGGCGGUUGGUUUGGAUUCCCGUGUGCCUCGUCGAUCUCCCGGGCCGGUCAAUGGGAGCAGGGACCUAAUAGUAGCUGCAUGAUGCGAGCUCGUCGAACUCGACGGUUUUCCAGCCUGCGAAGUAGUGGAUCUCGUUCCCCUUAGCUCCUGCGCGAUUUUGGGAAUCUUGGGGGUGUUGUCCGUCCCCAAACGCCGAGCCGGAGUGGUCAUUGUUGUCCCCAAGCGAGGCACCCCGACGCAUCGUCUUCAACCUCAAAAGUGGCAGCCCGUCUUCGGCAUUGCAUUCUUCCACCUACAGGUCCCCCGAUCUCUCAUCUCCCUUUUUUUAUGUUUGUACGAUUGGACCUAUAUACUUUAAGGUACGUACUGCUUGCUAGUGACAAAUGUUACUAUCCUGCAUACUCGUUGUUGAUUUUCAUCCAGAUUGACUUCUUGUCCAUCUACAAAAUGGCGAUAGUAAGUUCUGGAUGGCUAACACAGCUUAAGGCAAAAUGUUUUUUUAGUUUAUGUCCUUUCCACUUUUUUUCCAGGCUUGUGACUGAAAUUGGUAGUGUUCUACCCCCUACAACCAUUAAUAUUCACAAAGUUAAGGAAGUAAUUAGUGUAUUUGUGAUUUUAAUAACUGAAUAGUAAAAUUGGGCCUGAUUGCAAUAUAAUAUAUAACGAUGCUUCGAUGCUUUCACCAUUGGAUUGUACUAUAGAAUAGGCUUGAAAUAUCAGAUGAUAUAUAGUGUCGAUGUUUGGUAUUAUUGAACUAUUUCCAUCAAAUGCUGAUGCAUGUUUCCAAUGCUUAUGCGGAGUAGUACACCAUAUCCAUGUACUUAUGGUUAUAUAAAAGGCUGUUAAAAUCCAUCUAGUUCACGGCGGAGGAGACGGCCUCUGCCCCGACGAAUCUUCAAGUCCACACCAAUCUACUACCUCCGUUCCUAAAUAUAAGCCCUUGUAGAGAUUCUAAUAUGGACUACAUACGAAGCAAAAUGAGUGAAUCUACACUCUAAAAUACGUCUAUAUAUAUCCGUAUGUAGUAUGUAUUGCAAUGUCUAAAAAGGCUUAUAUUUAGAAACGGAGGGAGUAGUUCAUAUGUAUGGAAGUAGUGGCGCAUGCUCUUUUAAAUAAAUCUUUUUGUAUGCCUGACCAAAUCAUUUGUUUUGUAUUGAUCAGUGUAUACCUGCACUUGACCUGAGUGCAUGGACAACUCUUAUGUAGUAAAUUCCAAAAGAGAUAAUGGAUGACGGUACCUUAGACUACAAAAUUGAUAAUUUAUAAUUAGUUGAGUGAAAUCGGUUUGGCUCUCCAUAUUUGAUGUGUUGAAGCACAAUAUGUGUAGCACUACCAAGAUUUGCUAUUUCGGCCAUUAGUCCGGCGGUACAAUGGUGAUUUCAAUAAUCCUGUAGUCUGUGGAUGUUGCUAUUCAGUAGGUUAAUAACGUGAACUCCUAUUUAAAAAACUAGUUUUAUCUGUCCUCAUAUUUUUAAUCAUCCAUUGAAUAUGAAUGGAAAAAGGUGAAAAUGCAGGUUAGAGAGGCGCACAUCUAUCUUAAGCACCUGGUAAUUUUCAGGAAUGGUUAUGCGGAUCAGACAUGUUACGUAUCUACAUAACAAACUGAGUACACCUCGUUUUUUAUUCUAUUGUCGUUAUAAACAAAAACCUUCUUUAUCAAUUCCUUGUGAUGCUAAAAACAAAUCUAAGUACAUAUUAGAAAGGAAGAUGUAAUAUCAAUAGAAUUCGCAUAAUUUAAUAUUAGCACAACUAAACAUUCAUAGUCUUGAAAGUGGAUUGCAUGCACACAUAAUAAGUUAAAUCCAUGUUCUCAUGGACUCUAAAGUAAACACAAUUGUAUGCCAAUGCAAAUUACUACUCCCUCCGUUCACAAAUAUAAGAUGUUUUGGAUAUUUCAAUAUGGACUACAUACAGACUGAAAUGAGUGAACAAACACACUAAAACAUGCUUAUAUACAUCCAAUUCACAAAAAAAUUAGAACAUCUUAUAUAUGUGACGGAAGGGAGUGCAAAGUAUAUAGAGUAUCUAGAAUAUAUUCGUAUUAGUUCAACUAAGGGGAUUAAGUAUGUAGUUUAGCACUUGCUACUGCCAUGUUCUAGCUUGUGUUCCUUCUAGGCGCUUCCCUAAUCCUCUUGUCUUCUGUUGAUUCUUUUCUCCUAUUUUUACAUGUAGUCCUUUUUUUGGUUUUUCCUGUAGAUUUUGAAUCCCAUUUGUUCACUAAAAUUUGAAUGUCAGUAACAUAAUUUCCCUGCUAGGCCUAGGCCAGCUUUAAUAGAAAAUUAAUUGUGUUCAGAUAUGCUUAUGGGGCAUGGUAGCACCAAGGUGCUAGUGCAUGUUCAUUCAAACAUAUAAAAUAUGAACUUUUUUUCUUAGAUGAGGGUACCUCAUCAUUGGUAUCGUCAAUGCUAAAAUGGUCAUGAUUUUUGUCUUGUACCUUAUAUUUUGAAAUAUAAAGUAGGACAUUUGUUUUUCUUAAUUAGGAAUGUAAAGUUUUGAUAUGUGUAAAGUGUUCUUUCAGGUACUCUUUUAAAUUUGUUGUGGGUAAGAAUUUUAACAUGUGUGAAGUUUCUUCAUAGUCUCUAUCUAAAUCAUCUUCUAAUGUAAUUACAUAUGGACAUACUUUCUUUUCGAAUAGAUUUGCCUGCAGUUUUUGGAAAUUCCUAAAAUAACAACAAUUAUUUAACACAUGUAGAAGAUGAGAAGUGAAAUACCUGAUCAUUGAGAAGUAUGUUCUCUGUAACCUUUUUUGCUUCAUUCGUGACUUCUGUUCCUUGGAUUUUCAGUAUGCUUUACAAAGAACAUGCUCGCAUUAUACUUUUGGUAACUAUUUGAACUUGUUUUCCGAUAUGGAUCCUGCUGGAGGUGGCUUGUUUUCGUGCAGAAGAUGGUACCUGCUGGAGGUGUUGUUGUCGCUAGACGGAACUAACAAUGUAGGUUGUGUCAUUGCUGGCUAGAGUUGAUCGGAAAAUCCUCAAUAUUGUGUACAAUGUUCUACAAGCACAAUAUUGGUCCAACAUCCGCGUCGAGCAGCCAUGCGUCAUUGCGAUGGGAGAAGUCGGUCUUCAGUCCCUCAUGGAGGCCAUGCAGUUCAUGGUGUACGUCUACAUCCAGCCCGGUGCUUUGUGGACAGACUUCUCUCGAGGAAGUUUGAGUGCGUCGGUGUUGCAGGAAUUCCUGAGUGAAUCUUGAAGGGGGUCUUUCUUUCCAGUAAAGUAUCUGCACGGAAGAUAGCUCUCUAUGUUAUUUGAUACACCAGAUCUUUUGUGUAUUUAGAUGUUCAUCUGUACUCUAAUCUAGUAGUAAUGAAACAAUAGUUUCUUCU